GGUACAGUGACCCAAAGUAGGCCAUGUCGUUUGUGAAAGCUGCCUCGGAGAGCUGUUCACCUGUCCGGUGUAGGCCUACAAGAAAAUCUGAGGUCAAGCGACAACGGAUGAUGGGCACUUAUGUGCCAUAUAAUCAGAGUCCUUACAGAAACUGUAACUACGCCGAACAGUGGAGAGCCAGCCCAUUGCAGACCCUGCGUGCCGCUCCAGGUUUUCAAGUAGGCUAUUGCACCUCCAGGAGGCGUGCUAGGAAUUUUCUGGAUCCUGCGAUUGUCCACAAAUGGAAGACUGAUGACUGAUGAGAGUCUUUUCCAGAAGUUACCCCAGGGUGGAAAGAUUGCAAUUUGCAGAGAUAUGCUGGCAGAUUCCCUAGGAUUACAACAUGUUGAACCAUGAAUCAGGAUUACUAUGCGUCAUGUUCAUCUCAUCUGCAAUUUUAUGAACUCGCCAGCAGAGCAAUGAGGUUUGUAGAAGAAACUGGGCAAACAUGCGCAAUCCAAGGACUGAGGUUUUGAAGAAGUGGCUGCGCAGUAGGGCUGCAAGAUUAUAGCCAAAAUGAUUAUCACGAUUAUUUUGAUCAAUAUUGAUAUGUAUAUAUAUAUAUAUAAUAAAUGUUCUCAUUCUGAUUGCUGUAGUACUUGCCAAUGGUGGGCUUUUACGUACUACGGGUCAUUAUUUGUUGAUAUUUUGCAUUAAAGCAAAGCAGGAUGAAAUUAAUCGAAAAAUAUUUUUGUAGAUUUUUGGUGAAUAUUUUGAACAAUUAAUUUCAUCCUGUUUCACUUUCUUUCUUUUUUGUGCGUGUUGUUGUUAAACACCUGAUAAUGGGCUAG
ensembl:lncRNA